rnacentral:snRNA from 1 species
GGCGAUGCGUCCUGGUCGGA